GGGACUGUAGCUCAGUGGUAAAGCACUUGCCUAGUAUGCAUGAGGCACAGGGGUUCGAGCCUCAGUACCA
rnacentral:tRNA from 1 species